rnacentral:rRNA from 1 species
AUACGUAGGGAGCAAGCGUUAUCCGGAUUUACUGGGUGUAAAGGGCGAGUAGGCGGGCAUGCAAGUCAGAUGUGAAAUUUAUGGGCUCAACCCAUAACCUGCAUUUGAAACUGUGUGUCUUGAGUGAUGGAGAGGCAGGCGGAAUUCCGUGUGUAGCGGUGAAAUGCGUAGAUAUUAGGAGGAACACCAGUGGCGAAGGCGGCUUUCUGGACUGUAACUGACACUGAGGCAC